rnacentral:rRNA from 1 species
AUAGCGUAUAUUAAAGUUGUUGCAGUUAAAAAGCUCGUAGUUGGAUUUUGGAUUGGGCUUAACGGUCGGCCGUGAGGUUCGUACUGUUGUGCCCUUUCUUCUUCUCGAAGACCACGUGUGCUCUUAACUGAGUGUGCGUGGGGUUCGGGACUUUUACUGUGAGAAAAUUAGAGUGUUCAAAGCAGGCGUUUGCUUGAGUAUUGCAGCAUGGAAUAAUGGAAUAGGAUCACGAUCUUAUUUUGUUGGUUUCUAGGAUCGAGAUAAUGAUUAAUAGGGAUAGUUGGGGGCAUCCGUAUUCAAUUGUCAGAGGUGAAAUUCUUGGAUUUAUUGAAGACGAACCACUG